AGGACACAAUAAUAACAGGAACUGUUCCUGUUGCAGUAUACAAUUAAAUGGAAUCCCUCAUAAGACACUUCCGGUAAUAAAAUCAGACCUGUGAAUGUAAUGGAGAUCAAUAUAAUUUCGGCAAUUGUUUUUCAUUACAUUUGAAUUUAACUUUUCCAUUAUCUGAUUAACAACAACGCGUCCAAUUACAAAAUUACCAACGCGGAGGACGGGUUUUGGAUUGAAUGGAGAUUAUUCUAUACAUACAAACGUUGUUCGUUCUAAACCAAUAAUUUUCAGAAAACCGACACUGUCGAGAGGAUCUCCAAGAAAUACUAGACAGGAAACAGGAUAUACGAUAUACACGUAUUCAAUGGAUAACUCUUAUGAGACGAAGACAAGUUCUGGAACUAUUGCAGCAGUUGUAGUGCCCUUUGCAGUUAUCAUCUCCUGCUGUCUGUCUUGCUGUCGAUACUACGUGAGGAACGAAAAUGCAAAGAAACUAAAAAAUAUCAGACGUAUUCAACAAUCAAGAUCCUUACAACAAACCAACGAACACUUACAGUAUCGUAUUAUUGGUUUGUACCGUGAGAAUGGGAAUUCAGCUGCCUUUAUUGCAUAUCCAAAGACGCAGGAUGGUCAUCGAAUAGGUGGGGAAAGGCUUGACAAUUUUACCUCAGAUAAUGACACUCGAAUUAACUUACCAGACGAAACAACAUAUACUCCAACUAAUAAUCCACCAGCAUACGAAGAUAUUAUAAACCGAAAUGCAGCUGCCAUUGUUUCCUUUAAUUCAAGGACACACAAAGUAGUUGACGAGGAAAGGCUCGCCAUUUCAAACGAUUCAACAUCUAUACCCACAGUCAAUCCGCCAGCAUACGAAGAUGUUAUAUAGGAAUGACGGGCGCAUGCACUUGUAUUUCAUUACGAUUUUACAUACGGUGUCUGCUCAUUUGUUUUAUGUCUGAGUCAUUACCUUGAAUGAAAUUAACUUUCAAAUUA